ACCUGUGAGGCCAGAUGGGAGUGGGGCAUGCGAUGGGGGAGACCACGGGGGGGGCGAUGGGAGAAAGCCUGGGGGCUGAGGGGGCGAUGGGAGAGACCCCCAGAGAUGGGGUGCGCAAUGGAAGAGCUGUGUGGGGGCUGGGGUGGCAACGGGAGCGAAGUGUGGAGGUGGGAAGGGCGAUGGGAGAGAGCCUGGGAACGGGGUAAGGAAUGGGAGAGAGGCUGGGGGAAAAGGGGGGGAUUGGUGGGGAUGGGGGAGACCCCCAGGCAUUGGGAGGGAGCCCAGGAAUGG
rnacentral:lncRNA from 1 species